rfam:Salmo salar isolate Sally breed double haploid chromosome ssa06, whole genome shotgun sequence.
UGAAUGCACCAUUUGUAAGUCGCUCUGGAUAAGAGCGUCUGCUAAAUUAUGUAAA